rnacentral:tRNA from 1 species
GCCUGAGUGGCUCAGUGGACAGAGAGCUGGGCCUCAAGACCCAGAGGUCGUAGGUUCGAAUCUGACCCCAGACU